rnacentral:rRNA from 1 species
ACUGAAUAGAUACCCGGGUAGUCCUGGCCCUAAACGAUGAAUGCUUGGUGUGGCGGGUAUCGAUCCCUGCCGUGCCGAAAGCUAACGCAUUAAGCAUUCCGCCUGGGGAGUACGGUCGCAAAGGCUGAAACUCAAAGGAAUUGACGGGGGCCCGCACAAGCGGUGGAGCAUGUGGUUCAAUUCGACGCAACGCGAAGAACCUUACCCAGGCUUGAACAGCGAGUGACAAACUCCGAAAGGAGUCUUCCGCAAGGACACUCGUAGAGGUGCUGCAUGGCUGUCGUCAGCUCGUGUCGUGAGAUGUUGGGUUAAGUCCCGCAACGAGCGCAACCCUUGUCUUCUGUUGCCAUCAGGUUAUGCUGGGCACUCUGAAGAGACUGCCGGUGAUAAACCGGAGGAAGGUGGGGAUGACGUCAAGUCAGCAUGGCCUUUAUGUCUGGGGCUACACACGUGCUACAAUGGCAGAUACAAACCGUCGCGAGACCGCAAGGUGGAGCUAAUCGGAGAAAGUCUGU